AAAUCUUAUUGGUGGAACGCGGUAAACCCCUCGAGUGAGCAACCCAAACAAAGGUCGGGGCGCUUUUUGCGGCGGAAUUCAACGCUAGCAAAAAGACAAUGUUUCAUUGUAGACAGAUGAUUAUCCAAGUUAUCUUGCCCCUGUAAGAUGACUGGACAAAACAUGGCUUAUAGAA
rnacentral:RNase_P_RNA from 1 species